AUGGGUUAGACAUGUAAAACAUAACCACAUGAUACCAGAACACUACAAACAUCCAUACACAUAAUAACGAAGAAACAACAAAACAUAUAAAAAAAAUCACCUAACCACCGCAAUGACAUGUAUUAACCAUCAGUAAUGAAAACUUAACACGGCCAUAAAACAAAGUUUCAUUCACAUGCAACUUAACAAUUCAACCAACUAAAACGACAAUACAAAAAACCCAGAACCCAUAUAAUCUCUCCACUAAGGAUUGAGGAUGCGGAUCCUGACCUGGCGUAAACAACAUUUAACAGAAUGUAUUUCUUUUUAGAUCAAAAACCUUAACGAUCAAGAGCUACAAGUUCAUUUAAUUGAAAAAACGAUACACCAGGAAUCAGAAGAAAACAAUGAGACUUAUUGAAAUCGGAGCUCAAGUAGCUAUGGAUUGCUAUUAUAAUAUACUUUACUACCAACUCUGUCAAGAAGAUGUACUUAAGAAUAAAAAUUGAUUUUAUAAGCAUCUACUUAGUGUUUUCAUUUCGGGUGCUGCCGAUUACAAACACUGAUAAAGAAAGCAACUUCUCUCGAGAAGUUUGGAAGGUUUGCUCAAAAUGAAGGCGUUAGUCCUCAGGUGAUUUUAUUUUAUAUUAGAUUUGUCUUAAUAUAAACGUU